rnacentral:lncRNA from 1 species
AGCACACAAAGUCAGUGAUCUGACCCACUCAGCCACCGAGGUCGCCACAAAAAUGAAAGUCCGACAACUGGUAGUCUAGAUCACGUACUUUGUAUACCCUUCCGACAAGUGUAAAUAUCAUUAUUUAUCAAAGAGAUCGUCAGUGUUAUAUUUUAAUCUAAAUUGAGUAAAAAACAAAACAUGAAAAAAACGUUACUACUUGCAGUUUGAAGAGGUAGUUGUGGAAUGUAUUGUGAAGAGCAUGGUCUAGUUUGAUUAAAAAAUACAUAUAUGUGAAGAGUUGUGAUAUAAACAAUUAGGCAAAGCCAUAUUUAAGAAAACAAAAACAUCUUUUGUUCCUCAGAGAGUGAACACCUUUCGUAUUUUUUCUUCUAAAAUUUGAAACAAAACUCAGUAGCUGUUUAAUCAAACAUAUCAAAUGAAUCUGUUUAGUUAACCCACGUUCUGGAAAGAAAUUAAAGUAUUUUCGUCUUAGUGAAGUGGAUGCACAUUUUACACAUUGUUGUUCGAUUCCCGGGGUGUUGGUGCCACUUUGAAUUGUGCACAUCAGUCGUUUAAAUUGCCAAUAAAAAAAUAAUGUUCAAAUUUCCGAUGUCAUAUGAAGCAGACUUAUCCAUAAUGUGAACACUAAUGUUUUCUGUUUGUAUUAAAGAACAAGUCUAAUGCGAAUUCAGUCGUUGUUGGUGGUGUUGGUGUUGGCGGUAUUCGUGGUGGGAAUAUAUUUUAAAUUUUGAGAAUUAUGUGGCCAAGAUUUUUUUCUGCAGGCAUAGAUAGUGUAGGUUGAUUCUCCAUCUGUUUACUAUUUAGUGUAUUGAUGGGGUAAACAAUGCCAGUCAGACAGUUACUUUGACACUGGCGCGGCUGAAAAUGCAAGUUUUCCAUUUUGUCAUGGCAGUGAGUAACACCAAUGUGGAUGGGUAAGCCUCGAAGCCGACUGGAAAUUUGAAAUAAAAUUUAAAAUUGGGCAACUGAGAUAUCUCUUUACAACUUUCCUCAAGUUUUGCUUGUUCAGUAAACAUUCUCAAAAUAACAGACUUUGCCUGUUCGACAAGGUUUCUUGAAUGAAUGAGGUGUAUCUCCUUUCCGUUUCUUGAAUGAAUGAGGUGUACCUCCUACCUAUUUCUUGAAUGAAUGAGGUGUACCUCUUACCCAUUUCUUGACUGAAUGAGGUGUACCUCCUACCUGUUUCUUGAAUGAAUGAGGUGUACCUCCUACCUGUUUCUUGAAUGAAUGAGGUGUACCUCCUACCUGUUUCUUGAAUGAAUGAGGUGUACCUCCUACCCAUUUCUUGAAUGAAUGAGGUGUACCUCUUACCCAUUUCUUAAAUGAAUGAGGUGUACCUCCUACCUGUUUCUUGAAUGAAUGAAGUGUACCUCCUACCUGUUUCUUGAAUGAAUGAGGUGUACCUCCUACCUGCUUCUUGAAUGAAUGAGGUGUACCUCCUACCUGUUUCUUGAAUGAAUGAAGUGUACCUUCUACUUGUUUCUUGAAUGAAUGAGGUGUACCUCCUACCUGUUUCUUGAAUGAAUGAAGUGUACCUUCUACUUGUUUCUUGAAUGAAUGAGGUGUACCUUCUACUUGUUUCUUGAAUGAAUGAGAUGUACCUCCUACCUGUUUCUUGACUGAAUGAGAUGUACCUCCUACCCAUUUCUUGAAUGAAUGAGGUGUACCUCCUACCUGUUUCUUGAAUGAAUGAGGUGUACCUCCUACCUGUUUCUUGAAUGAAUGAGGUGUACCUCCUACCUGUUUCUUGAAUGAAUGAAGUGUACCUCCUACCUGUUUCGUGAAUGAAUGAGGUGUACCUCCUACCUGUUUCUUGAAUGAAUGAGGUGUACCUCCUACCUGUUUCUUGAAUGAAUGAGGUCUACCUCCUACCUGUUUCUUGAAUGAAUGAGGUGUACCUCCUACCUGUUUCUUGAAUGAAUGAAGUGUACCUUCUACUUGUUUCUUGAAUGAAUGAGGUGUACCUCCUACCUGUUUCUUGAAUGAAUUAGAUGUACCUCCUACCUGUUUCUUGAAUGAAUGAAGUGUACCUUCUACCUGUUUCUUGAAUGAAUGAGGUGUACUUCCUACUUGUUUCUUGACUGAAUGAGGUGUACCUCCUACCUGUUUCUUGAAUGAAUGAGAUGUACCUCCUACCUGUUUCUUGAAUGAAUGAGAUGUACCUCCUACCUGUUUCUUGAAUGAAUGAGAUGUACCUCCUACCUGUUUCUUGAAUGAAUGAGGUGUACCUCCUACCUGUUUCUUGAAUGAAUGAAGUGUACCUCCUACCUGUUUCUUGAAUGAAUGAGGUGUACCUCCUACCUGUUUCUUGAAUGAAUGAAGUGUACCUCCUACCUGUUUCUUGAAUGAAUGAAGUGUACCUCCUACCUGUUUCUUGAAUGAAUGAAGUGUACCUCCUACCUGUUUCUUGAAUGAAUGAAGUGUACCUCCUACCUGUUUCUUGAAUGAAUGAAGUGUACCUCCUACCUGUUUCUUGAAUGAAUGAGGUGUACCUCCUACCUGUUUCUUGAAUGAAUGAGGUGUACCUCCUACCUGUUUCUUGAAUGAAUGAGGUGUACCUCCUACCUGUUUCUUGAAUGAAUGAAGUGUACCUCCUACCUGUUUCUUGAAUGAAUGAGGUGUACCUCCUACCUGUUUCUUGAAUGAAUGAGGUGUACCUCCUACCUGUUACUUGAAUGAAUAAUUAUUGUGUUGACUUAUAGGUUUACUGUAAACCGUGCUUGUUUCUUGUGGAUAUGACAAGUGCCUGGUUUGGUUCAGAUUAUUGAUUCCAUCAAUAAGGAUAGUUUGUGCCUAUUAUGUAAACAAAUGUACUUAAUUAUUAUGUCUGUAACAAUUCGGAUAUAACAAGGGGUAUGGCUUGAUAAAUUCAUGAUAGAAAUAAUUGUAGAAUAUUUUUAUAUCAAACUAACAGGAUACAUGUUAUUAUGUCAUCUUUUUACACACACAGUUUGAUGCUUUUCAUGUGACCGGUGAUUGUUAGUGGAAUAAAGUGACUUACAAAAUGUU